CCGUCUGCCUCAUUCUGGGCUCAGAGCUCUCUGCCUGCAGCUCUACAGAGGACACAAUGAUGUCCCCAUCCCAGCUCCUCUGCCUCCUGGUGCUCUGGGCUCAGGAGUCCAGGACAGCCACUGUGAUGACCCAGACUCCAGCCUCUGUGUCUGUGCCUCUGGGAGAGACACUCACCAUCAGCUGCAGGGCCAGUGAGGACAUUAGCAGUGCUUUAAACUGGUACCAGCAGCCUCCAGGAAAACCUCCCAAACUUCUCAUCUAUGGUGCUAAAUAUCGAGAGUCUGGGGUCCCUGCCCGCUUCAGUGGCAGUGGGUCUGGGGCAGAUUAUACUCUCACAAUCAGUGGGGUGGUGACUGAUGAUGGGGCAAAUUACUACUGUCAGCAGUAUGAUGAGUUCCCAUCCCACAGUGAUGGAGGCCUGAACAAAAACCUCCCCGGGCUGUGGAGUCCUUCAGCUCAGGGCAGCAGCUGCUUCCUGCACAGCAUCUGA